rnacentral:lncRNA from 1 species
AAAGAAGUUAUGUAUUUUACGUAACAUGUGAUAGAGAGAAAGAUGAUGUCCGGAAAAAUAAUCAAAGAGAAACAAAAUAAUUAUUUCGAGGAGAAUUGUGAAUGAAAAAUGUGAAACAGACCUUAAUUAGUUACAGAAAAAAUCUGUCAUUUCCAAGUAAAAAUAAUGUCAUAUUUUAAAAACUUUAAAAUCAUUGUCAAAAUCCAGUCCGAAAUUGAUAGUAUUCAUAACUGAAAUCUAAUUCAAAUAGAUUAAUCUUACUUAAAAC